rnacentral:lncRNA from 1 species
GUCGGUGAGCCUGUGAAAACCGACCGAGUUUGUUGUGAUCUCGUGAAAACAACAAGUUAGGUUGUGAGCUUGUAAAACAACCGGCUGUAAUCUGGAGGAUUAUAGUGAAAUUUCCAAGAGGUCUUGGGGAGUGGAUGUAGGUGCUGGGGUGCACCGAACCACUAUACAUCUUUGUGUUUGUGAUGCCUUAUCUCUUGUAUUUCAUGCCUUACAAUCAUACUUGAUUGUGUAAUAUCUCUAGCUUUGUUUUCUAUAGAGUUAUAAGUGAUUGUUUAGAAUUUGCUUAGCUUCCACUCCAUUCUUACCAUACACAUAGAUUAAAAUUGAUCAUACAACUAUAAGUUAAUUUUAGAUCAAUUGCACCCUAAAGCCAUAGUAUAAUUGCUUUAGCUUAAUUUUCCAAUGCUUUACUUGUAAUUGCCUAGAGCUUAAGUAAAUAACAUCUUAUCAUUCCGCUGCAUUCAAUUCAAAGUAAAAAUUAGGGAACAUAAUUUUUAGAAAAUCCAGUUCAGCCCCCCUCUUGGGUUGUCACCUUGGGCAACAAGUGGUAUCAGAGCAGGUGCUCUAAGAUUAAUUGUUGAUCUCACGAUCAAGAGCCAAAGAUCAUGACAACUCAAAUAGAUAGUUUUCUAGGAGAGGGACAAUUAAUUGAUAGACCUCCACUAUUUAAUGGCAUAAACUACACACAUUGGAAAGUACGCAUGCACAUUUUUAUUCAAUCACAAAACUAUGAUUUAUGGAAUAUCAUAAUAAAUGACCUUCACACACUCUCUCAAACUAUUAAUGAAAAAGACUUAGCACAAUUGAAUGCUAAUGCUAUGAACAU